UACGUAGGGUCCGAGCGUUGUCCGGAAUUAUUGGGCGUAAAGGGCUCGUAGGCGGUCUGUUGCGUCGGGAGUGAAAACUUACAGCUUAACUGUGAGCGUGCUUCCCGAUACGGGCAGACUUGAGGUAUUCAGGGGAGAACGGAAUUCCUGGUGUGAGCGGUGGAAAUGCGCAGAUAUCAGGAGGAACACCGGUGGCGAAGGCGGUUCUCUGGGCAUUACCUGACGCUGAGGAGCGAAAGUGUGGGGAGCGAACAGG
rnacentral:rRNA from 1 species